CACGCAACCGCGACAUCAAUUCCGGACCGUAUGACAACUACAUCCAGACCGACGCGGCGAUCAAUCGCGGCAACUCCGGCGGUCCGCUGUUCAAUCUCGACGGCGAAGUCAUCGGCGUGAACACCGCGAUCAUUUCGCCGUCGGGCGGAUCGAUCGGCAUCGGCUUUGCGGUUCCGUCGAAGACAGUGAUGGCGGUGGUCGAUCAGUUGCGCCAGUUCAAGGAAGUCCGCCGCGGCUGGCUCGGUGUCCGCAUUCAGCAGGUCACCGACGAAAUCGCGGAAAGCCUCAGCAUCAAGCCCGCACGCGGCGCGCUGAUCGCCGGCGUGGACGACAAGGGUCCAGNNNNNNNNNNACCCUGCCGGCAUCGAGCCGGGUGACGUCGUCGUCAAGUUCGAUGGCAAGGACAUCAAGGAGAUGAAGGACCUUCCGCGUGCCGUCGCCGACUCGCCGGUCGGCAAGGCGG
rnacentral:misc_RNA from 1 species